rnacentral:rRNA from 1 species
AUGAAGAUCUCUACCGAGUUGAGCAGGGAAUAUUUCUGGCAUCUCAAUAUCGGCUGGGCCGCUCCGUCUCACACGUACAAGGUCGUCUGCAUCAAGAGCCCAUAUUGUAAGGUUCUCACGUUACAAGAUGGCGCCAAGUGGAGGCCGGCGCCGUCCCCUCCAGAAAUUGUCACUACCCACGGCAGCUCUGCCAUCACGGUCAAUGGUGUCAUGCACUUCCUUUCCGGGUCCGGGUUACAACGGGUGGAAGAGGUCUAUGUACUCUGCUUUGAUCUUGAAAGUGAGGAAUGGAGGGCGUCAAUCAGGGUCCCAAUGACAUCUGGUGACAAUCUACAAGGUAAGACAUGGACAAGAUCUAUGACCAAGCUUAAUGACGCCCUAUGCAUGGUUCAACGGACCUCAACCAACAUGUGGCUAAUAUGGCUUCUAACUGAUCCCACCAAAGGCACCUGGAUUAAGGCGUACACAAUACCAAUGGCUUCACCCGUUGACCAGGUGAUGCCUUUGAUGGUGAUGCAUGAUGGUCAAAAGUUGCUCUUCUAUCUGCGCGUUACAUCCUCGGCAACUCCGACACUGCAAGUCUACGAUCCACUCACACAAAACUUCACGCAACGUCUAAAAUUUGCGAGCAACCUUCUGGGUGCUCGUCUUUGUGACUUCCAUUUGGAAUAUUUUGUCUCGACUAAGGUCUUGCCAGUGACUGCGCCGAGUGUUUCAUCUCACCUAACAUUUCGCCAGUGGCUGCGCCAAUGGAAACCUCUUUCUCUCGUAUAA